CCCGGUGGUUCAGAGCGGAGGGGUUCCACCCGUUCCCAUUCCGAACACGGUCGUGAAAACCUCCAGCGCCGAUGGUACUGCCCUGGCAACGGGGUGGGAGCGUAGGCCACUGCCGGGA
rnacentral:rRNA from 1 species